rnacentral:rRNA from 1 species
GAUGAACGCUGGCGGCGUGCCUAAUACAUGCAAGUCGAGCGAAUGGAUUAAGAGCUUGCUCUUAUGAAGUUAGCGGCGGACGGGUGAGUAACACGUGGGUAACCUGCCCAUAAGACUGGGAUAACUCCGGGAAACCGGGGCUAAUACCGGAUAAUAUUUUGAACUGCAUGGUUCAAAAUUGAAAGGCGGCUUCGGCUGUCACUUAUGGAUGGACCCGCGUCGCAUUAGCUAGUUGGUGAGGUAACGGCUCACCAAGGCAACGAUGCGUAGCCGACCUGGGAGGGUGAUCGGCCACACUGGGACUGAGACAUGGCCCAGACUCCUACGGGAGGCAGCAGUAGGGAAUCUUCCGCAAUGGACGAAAGUCUGACGGAGCAACGCCGCGUGAGUGAUGAAGGCUUUCGGGUCGUAAAACUCUGUUGUUAGGGAAGAACAAGUGCUAGUUGAGUAAGCUGGCACCUUGACGGUACCUAACCAGAAAGCCACGGCUAACUACGUGCCAGCCGCCGCCGUAA